CUUGGUGAUUCAAGCGGCAAGGCCACACCUGAUCCCAUCCCGAACUCAGAAGUUAAGCUUGCCUGCGCCGAUGGUAGCCCGCCUAAGUUUAUUUAAAUGUUAAGUAAAUUUGGGCGGGUGAGAGUAGGCCAUCGCCAGGA
rnacentral:rRNA from 1 species